rnacentral:tRNA from 1 species
GGGCGAGUAGCUCAGUUUGGUUAGAGUGUUACGUUGACAUCGUAAAGGUCGCUGGUUCGACCCCAGUCUCGCCCACCA